GCACAAUGGGCGCAAGCCUGAUGCAGCCAUGCCGCGUGUGUGAAGAAGGCCUUCGGGUUGUAAAGCACUUUCAGUCGUGAGGAAGGUAGUGUAGUUAAUAGCUGCAUUAUUUGACGUUAGCGACAGAAGAAGCACCGGCUAACUCCGUGCCAGCAGCCGCGGUAAUACGGAGGGUGCGAGCGUUAAUCGGAAUUACUGGGACGUAAAGCGCAUGCAGGUGGUUUGUUAAGUCAGAUGUGAAAGCCCCGGGGCUCAACCUCGGAAUAGCUAUUUGAAACUGGCAGACUAGAGUACUGUAGAGGGGGUAGAAUUUUCAGGUGUAGCGGUGAAAUGCGUAGAGAUCUGAAGGAAUACCGGUGGCGAAGGCAGCCCCCUGGACAGAUACUGACACUCAGAUGCGAAAGCGUGGGGAGCAAACAGGAUUAGAUACCCUGGUAG
rnacentral:rRNA from 1 species